rnacentral:rRNA from 1 species
AUGGAAGGGAGCAGCUGAUCCAGCCAUCCGCGUGCAGGAGACGCCUACGCGUUGUAAACUGCUUUUGUAAGAUGAAACCCGGGAUUUUCCUGGUUGACGUUAUUUAAGAAUAAGACCGGCUAACUCCGUGCCAGCAGCCGCGGUAAUACGAUAGA